AGGGACCAAAAACAUACUUUUCUCUUUUUUAAACUGUGUAAGUUUUGAGUGAAACUAUACUAUCUGUUAACACAAGGAAAAGAAAGAAUGGAAUUGAUUGUAAGCAAUUCUUCUUGAGAUAGAGAUUUUCUGUGUAGUUUGCUGCAAUUGUUUAAAUCUGAAUUUCAGUUUGAGAUAUACAACCGGCAAUCUGAGGUCAAUACUGCUGCUCAGACAAUCUAGAUAUGUCAACAAAAUUUCUUUGCAAACUCGUACAGAAGCUUAAGAAUAUGCCUGCUACUUGGGGAUAUUGUGGUGUUAAAUGACCUAAAUCUCGCUUCACAUAUAUCACAAUCAGAUACGGUGUUUGACAAAACCCGAAUUUUUUUGGAACAAAAAAGGUUAUGCUAGCAAGGAAAUUCACUUCAGCUCAAGACUUGAUAAGGCAUGUGGCGACCCUAGGAGGUGUUGUUGUGCUCACUCGCAUACCAUAUAUUCAGAGUUAAAGUUGUUUGCGUGCUUUCUAUGGUCUAAGUGGUAACACAUGAAAGAUCCAGAAAGAUUUUGAAGCGGCGUAGAUCCAGCCGGUGCAUACUAUUGCCUUCAAAGGCCUUGAAGGAGAUCAUAUAUGUUUGGCUACUGACAUGACAAGAAUUUCAGCAAAAAGGUGACGUGAAUUUUCACCUUCUCGUCUGCUCUUUUAUCUUUUGCUAUUCUGCAUUAACACUCACGUGUCUGCUGUUUCAGAUUUCCAAUUAUUAGACACAUGCUUUGCAGCUUGUAUUAGUACAUAUCACCAUGCAUCCAUGCCUAAGCUACUAGCGAAAUGAAGGAAACUUUUCCAUGAUUUGUGUAGACUGGAGUCCCUUUAACAUGCAUUCUCUAUUCUUGAUUUAAGAAUUUGA